rnacentral:rRNA from 1 species
UACGGGGGGGGCAAGCGUUGUUCGGAAUUACUGGGCGUAAAGGGCGCGUAGGCGGCCUUCUAAGUCGGACGUGAAAUCCCUCGGCUUAACCGAGGAACUGCGUCUGAUAGUGGAAGGCUUGAAUCCGGGAGAGGGAUGUGGAAUUCCAGGUGUAGCGGUGAAAUGCGUAGAUAUAUGGAGGAACACCGGUGGCGAAGGCGGCAUCCUGGACCGGCAUUGACGCUGAGGCGCGAAAGCUAGGGGAGCAAACGGG